AAUAGAUACCCGGGUAGUCCACGCCGUAAACGAUGAGUGCUAAGUGUUAGGGGGUUUCCGCCCCUUAGUGCUGCAGCUAACGCAUUAAGCACUCCGCCUGGGGAGUACGGUCGCAAGACUGAAACUCAAAGGAAUUGACGGGGGCCCGCACAAGCGGUGGAGCAUGUGGUUUAAUUCGAAGCAACGCGAAGAACCUUACCAGGUCUUGACAUCCCGUUGACCACUGUAGAGAUAUAGUUUCCCCUUCGGGGGCAACGGUGACAGGUGGUGCAUGGUUGUCGUCAGCUCGUGUCGUGAGAUGUUGGGUUAAGUCCCGCAACGAGCGCAACCCUUGAUCUUAGUUGCCAUCAUUUAGUUGGGCACUCUAAGGUGACUGCCGGUGACAAACCGGAGGAAGGUGGGGAUGACGUCAAAUCAUCAUGCCCCUUAUGACCUGGGCUACACACGUGCUACAAUGGACGAUACAAACGGUUGCCAACUCGCGAGAGGGAGCUAGUCCGAUAAAGUCGUUCUCAGUUCGGAUUGUAGG
rnacentral:rRNA from 1 species